GAUGAAGAACGUAGCGAAAUGCGAUAAGUAGUGUGAAUUGCAGAAUUCCGUGAAUCAUCGAAUAUUUGAACGCACAUUGCGCCUUCUGGUAUUCCGGAAGGCAUGCCUGUUCGAGAGUCAUUAACAACCGUUUCGAUCCCUUUCUUUCAGAAAUUACAAAGAGGAAAAGGGUUUGGUUAUGGUGGAGGAGGGAAAGGGAGCGUUUAGCCUGUAAAAAAAGAGGCUGUGUUCCGCCUCCCCCCCAAAAUUGUACAGGCGGUCGUGUGCGCCCACGCAUCGAGGUGUUGUAAAAGCUGCCACGGCACUUUUCACCUGUGCAGUGCGAGAUUGGCCAGCCGGUUUAAAAACCCCUCCAAACAAUCAAAGGUUGACCUCGGAUCAGGUAGGGAUACCCGCUGAACUUAAGCAUAUCAAUAAGCGGAGGA
rnacentral:misc_RNA from 1 species